AACGAACGCUGGCGGCAUGCCUAACACAUGCAAGUCGAACGAACCCUUCGGGGUUAGUGGCGGCCGGGUGAGUAACACGUGGGAACGUGCCUUUAGGUUCGGAAUAACUCACGGAAACUUGUGCUAAUACCGAAUGUGCUCUUCGGGCGAAAGAUCUUUCGCCUUUUGAUGGGCCCGCGUCUGAUUAGCUAGUUGGGUGAGGUAAGGGCUUACCAAGGCGACGUUCAUUAGCUGGUCUGAGAGGAUGAUCAGCCACAUUGGGACUGAGACACGGCCCAGACUCCGACGGAAGGCAGCAGUGGGGAAUCUUGCACAAUGGGCGAAAGCCUGACGCAGCAAUGCCGCGUGAAUGAUGAAGGCCUUAGGAUUGUAAAAUUCUUUCACCGGGGACGAUAAUGACGGUACCGGGAGAAAAAGCCCCGGCUAACUGCGUG
rnacentral:rRNA from 1 species